rnacentral:rRNA from 1 species
GAUCUGCCUUUAAGUGGGGGAUAACCCGGGGAAACCCGGAUUAAUACCGCAUGAUCUCGCAAGAGCAAAGUGGGGGAUCGCAAGACCUCACGCUUUUAGAGGAACCUACGUCGGAUUAGCUUGUUGGUGAGGUAACGGCUCACCAAGGCGACGAUCCGUAACUGGUCUGAGAGGAUGAUCAGUCACACCGGAACUGAGACACGGUCCGGACUCCUACGGGAGGCAGCAGUGGGGAAUAUUGGACAAUGGGCGAAAGCCUGAUCCAGCAAUACCGCGUGUGUGAAGAAGGCCUUCGGGUUGUAAAGCACUUUAAGUUGGGAAGAAAAAACUUCAAUUAAUACUUGAAGUCUUGACGGUACCGACAGAAUAAGCACCGGCUAACUCUGUGCCAGCAGCCGCGGUAAUACAGAGGGUGCUAGCGUUAAUCGGAUUUACUGGGCGUAAAGUGUGCGUAGGCGGUUUGAUAAGUCGAUUGUGAAAGCCCUGGGCUCAACCUAGGAAUUGCGGUCGAUACUGUCAGACUAGAAAACGGUAGAGGGAGGCGGAACUCCAGGUGUAGCGGUGAAAUGCGUAGAUAUCUGGAAGAACACCGAUGGCGAAGGCAACCUCCUGGGCCUGUUUUGACGCUGAGGCACGAAAGCGUGGGUAGCAAACAGGAUUAGAUACCUGGUAGUCCACGCCGUAAACGAUGAGAACUUGACGUUGGUUUGCUUAGCAAA